rnacentral:lncRNA from 1 species
CAAUAAAGGACAUUUCUGCCUUUGAAUGACAGCUCCAAAAGGGACAAGCCUGACUGACCAGCAGAUUCCACUUUUGUACGUGCAAAGCUCCUCAGACCGGUGCCAGUAGAGGGCGAUACCACACAGUCAACAUUUUUGAGGUGGUAAGGUAACUUGAAGAAAUGUGGCAGGUGAACUUCAUGAGGAUGACUAAUGGAGCCGAUGCACCCAGUGAGCUUAGAUGCUAUAGAGCAGGACAGACCUGCACGUGCAGGAGGACGAGCAGGACAAAUGUGAGUACCUUGCUGGUGUUUGAGCCAAUUCAGCAAAUAACCACCGUGCACAGAUUGCAGCACACUUACUGGCAAUCUAUCACCCAGUUCUGAUUGCAGCUUUUCAUUUUGGGGUUGUUGGCACUCUCAUCUAUGGCUGCUUUGGUAGUGAUGUGAUUUACGCUCACUGUUAUGCACAUCAGCUCUUCAACAAAUCAGACAGAGUAACUUCCACAGCCACCAUCUUCUCUUUUACCAGGA